AAGGGAACGAGGUCUGCGUCGACGAGGUACUUAAUUGAUGUCAGCACAGGAUUCAUCAACGUGUGUCAACUGGGAAAACACAAUGGUAC